UACGGGGGGAGCAAGCGUUGUUCGGAUUUACUGGGCGUAAAGGGCGCGUAGGCGGUCGUGACAAGUCACUUGUGAAAUCUCCGGGCUUAACCCGGAACGGUCAAUCGAUACUGCGGGGCUAGAGUGCAGAAGGGGCAACUGGAAUUCUCGGUGUAGCGGUGAAAUGCGUAGAUAUCGAGAGGAACACCUGCGGCGAAGGCGGGUUGCUGGGCUGACACUGACGCUGAGGCGCGAAAGCUAGGGGAGCGAACGGG
rnacentral:rRNA from 1 species